UCUUCGGCAAUGGACGAAAGUCUGACCGAGCAACGCCGCGUGAGUGAAGAAGGUUUUCGGAUCGUAACACUCUGUUGUUAUAGAAGAAUGUUGAUUAGAGUGGAAAAUUAAUCAAGUGACGGUAUCUAACCAGAAAGGGACGGCUAACUACGUGCCAGCAGUCGCGGUAAUACGUAGGUCCCGAGCGUUGUCCGGAUUUAUUGGGCGUAAAGCGAGCGCAGGUGGUUUAAUAAGUCUGAUGUAAAAGGCAGUGGCUCAACCAUUGUGUGCAUUGGAAAAUGUUAAACUUGAGUGCAGUAGAGGAGAGUGGAAUUCCCUGUGUAGCGGUGAAAUGCGUAGAGAUAUGGAGGAACACCGGUGGCGAAAGCGGCUCUCUGGACUGUCACUGACACUGAGGCUCGAAAGCGUGGGUAGCAAACAGG
rnacentral:rRNA from 1 species